GACGAACGCUGGCGGCGUGCUUAACACAUGCAAGUCGAACGAUGAACCGGGUGCUUGCACUCGGGGAUUAGUGGCGAACGGGUGAGUAACACGUGAGCAACCUGCCCCUGACUCUGGGAUAAGCGCUGGAAACGGCGUCUAAUACUGGAUAUGUCCCGUCACCGCAUGGUGUGCGGGUGGAAAGAUUUUUCGGUUGGGGAUGGGCUCGCGGCCUAUCAGCUUGUUGGUGAGGUAAUGGCUCACCAAGGCGUCGACGGGUAGCCGGCCUGAGAGGGUGGCCGUCCACACUGGGACUGAGACACGGCCCAGACUCCUACGGGAGGCAGCAGUGGGGAAUAUUGCACAAUGGGCGGAAGCCUGAUGCAGCAACGCCGCGUGAGGGAUGACGGCCUUCGGGUUGUAAACCUCUUUUAGCAGGGAAGAAGCGAGAGUGACGGUACCUGCAGAAAAAGCACCGGCUAACUACGUGCCAGCCGCCGCAGUAA
rnacentral:rRNA from 1 species